rnacentral:rRNA from 11 species
AGCAGCCAUUCAUUUAAAGAGUGCGUAACAGCUCACUGGUCGAGCGGUCCCGCAUGGAUAAUGAUCGGGCAUAAGCACAUUACCGAAGCUAUGGCAUCGAAAGAUGGGUAGGGGAGCAUUCUGUUCGGCGCUGAAGGUGCACUGUGAGGUGUGCUGGAGCGUACAGAAACGAAAAUGUAGGCAUAAGUAACGAUAAUGCGGGCGAGAAACCCGCACGCCGAAAGACCAAGGUUUCCCCGGCCAUGCUAAUCAGCCGGGGGUCAGUCGGGACCUAACACGAACCCGGAAGGGGCAGUGGAUGGACAAGCGGUUAAUAUUCCGCUACCCGCAAUGCGAUAAAAGUGACGGGGCAGCUUAGUUGGUGCGUGCUGACGGAAUAGCACGUUGAAGCGCAAGCGAUAGUACGACAAGGCCACGGCCGCGUCGAUAAUCCAGCGGCGCUGCCUCCAAGAAAAGCGAGCAUUGCGGCCCGUACCGUAAACCGACACAGGUGGUCGGGAUGAGAAUUCUAAGGCGCUCGAGAGAUUCAUGGUUAAGGAACUAGGCAAAAUGGACGCGUAACUUCGGGAGAAGCGUCGCUCCCCUCCGGGGGAGCCGCAGUGAAUAGGCCCAGGCGACUGUUUAUCAAAAACACAGGGCUCUGCCAAAUCGAAAGAUGACGUAUAGGGCCUGACACCUGCCCGGUGCCGGAAGGUUAAAGGGAGACGUCAGCCACUUGUGGUGAAGCGUUGAACUGAAGCCCCGGUAAACGGCGGCCGUAACAAUAACGGUCCUAAGGUAGCGAAAUUCCUUGUCGGGUAAGUUCCGACCCGCACGAAAGGCGUAACGAUUUGGACACUGUCUCGGAGAGGGACUCGGUGAAAUAGACUUGUCUGUGAAGAUGCGGACUACCUGCACCUGGACAGAAAGACCCUAUGAAGCUUUACUGUAACUUGAGACUGAUUUCGGGCUUUAUUUGCGCAGCAUAGGUGGGAGGCUUUGAAGCAGGCACGCUAGUGUCUGUGGAGCCAUCCUUGAAAUACCACCCUGGUA